rnacentral:tRNA from 1 species
GCCCCAGUAGCUCAAUGGCAGAGCGCUCGCCUCGUAAGCGAGAGGUUGAGGGUUCAAAUCCCUCCUGGGGCU